rnacentral:rRNA from 1 species
AGGGAAUCUUCGGCAAUGGACGCAAGUCUGACCGAGCAACGCCGCGUGAGUGAAGAAGGUUUUCGGAUCGUAAAACUCUGUUGUUAGAGAAGAACAAGGAUGAGAGUGAAAUGUUCAUCCCUUGACGGUAUCUAACCAGAAAGCCACGGCUAACUACGUGCCAGCAGCCGCGGUAAUACGUAGGUGGCAAGCGUUGUCCGGAUUUAUUGGGCGUAAAGCGAGCGCAGGCGGUUUCUUAAGUCUGAUGUGAAAGCCCCCGGCUCAACCGGGGAGGGUCAUUGGAAACUGGGAAACUUGAGUGCAGAAGAGGAGAGUGGAAUUCCUAGUGUAGCGGUGAAAUGCGUAGAGAUUAGGAAGAACACCAGUGGCGAAGGCGACUUUCUGGACAAUAACUGACGCUGAGGCUCGAAAGCGUGGGGAGCAAAC